AAAACAUUUGACGUAGCUUAACAUCGCUAAUGCUGCUGCCGUGAGAGUUGAAAACGAGAGAAAAAGAGGUUGGAGAACUGCCGAAGACGCACUUUUAAUUGUCCUGCCUUCUCCUAAUGAACACCGCCUUCUUGGUCAGGUCCUAUUUGAUGCCUGGAAAUUGUGAAGCUCCACCCCUUGUGUCCAACGAGGCUGACCAGUGAUCCCAUUGAUGGCGAGCCUCCCAGUCGAACUUUGAGCCACCACCACACCAUUCAGCGGAUUCUGUGGUAGGUUUGUGUCAGUCCCACUGACUGACACCGAGAGCCUAUUGGAUUCUUUUCAUUGACUUUGACUACUCCCUUGACUUCUUGACUUUAACUUGGAUUGGAUCCACAACAAACCAGUUCCACCGGAAUACUUCAAAUGGACAUUUUUUUUUUUCUUAGUUUAUUGGGCCCAUACGUAUUGUAUUGUUAUGAUGUUGUGUACUGUUUAAAUAGUUUCCUAAAACUAAAAGUUCACAAUAACAACAUAUACCUGUGUCCAGUGGUUAUUGCUAUUACUCGUAGCUCUUACGAACGUAGGUAGCGACGUGUACAUACUCAGAAGUGGGUUACAAAAUAAAUAAAUUAGUGUCUUGAAUUAAAUACAU